GUUCUAUUGGAGCACAACUAGGGGAAUUGAAAUUGUGUUAUAAGAGUUGAUAAACAAAUAUGGCAUUAAGACCAUUGGUCUCAGGACAAAAUCUACCAACCUUUUUCCGCUGCCUAAAACCCUCCUUCAAGCCAAGGAGAAGACAUUGCCUCCUCAGAAGAUCCUCCAAACAAGUAUCAGUAGAAGAAUAGGAUCAAUAGCAGUAGUUGCUUCAAUUCUCUUGGCAAGGGAAGCAAUAUUGAGACCAGAAAUUGCAUUUGGAGCAGACUUGAGAAUUCUAGCUUCUGGACAAACAAUUGAAGAGGCAGAGAGUGAGAUUAGAGGUCAUGCACAAUCUUUGCUAGAUAUUAAAGCUUUGUUGGAGUCUGAAUCUUGGCGUGAAGCUCAGAAGGCACUGCGAAGGAGCUCUUCUAACUUGAAACGUGAUUUCUAUACCAUAGUCCAAAGCAGACCUGGAAGUGAGAGGCCUUACCUGAGGAAGCUCUAUUCUGAUCUCUUCAAUAAUGUUACCAGACUAGAUUAUGCAGCGAGGGACAAAGAUGCCUCACUCGUUAGGCAGUGCUAUGGAAAUAUUUUUGUGGCCCUUUAUGACAUUUUGGGCAGAACAUAAGUUUUAUCACACUUCCCUUUUGGUAAAUCAAGUCCGUACUAUAUAUCAACUUGUAGUUCUGUUGGCAUGUAUCGUAACUUAUUAGAGUUUACUCUAUUUUUUGACAAUUGAAAUUCUAUCGCCAGCACUUGUUCUGUAUUUUUU